rnacentral:rRNA from 1 species
AUGACAACUGAGGAACUUCUUCCAGAGAAAUAUCGUGACAAAGCAUCUGAGUAUCGCAAGGGCACUGAUACAAUGGAUGUUUGGUUCGACUCUGGCUCCUCAUGGGCUGCUGUUUCAGCAAAACGAGAUGGCCUUAAUUUCCCUGCAGAUGUAUACAUUGAAGGUUCAGACCAACAUCGUGGAUGGUUUCAGAGUUCGUUGUUAACCAGCAUCGCUGCUACAGGAAAGGCUCCAUAUUCCAGUGUUAUUACCCACGGUUUCGUAUUGGACGAAGACGGUUUCAAAAUGAGCAAAUCUGUUGGUAAUGUGGUGGAUCCUGAGAAAGUGAUUGUUGGUGGGAAAAAUCCUAAGGAAGAGCCUCAUUAUGGAGCAGAUGUUCUCCGUCUAUGGGUUUCUAGUGUAGAUUGCACUGGAGAUGUGUUGAUUGGUUCACAAAUCUUACGCCAGAUGUCUGACAUGUAUAGGAAACUACGAGGCACAAUGCAUUUUCUGUUAGCAAAUCUCCAUGAUUGGAAACCGGAGAAUUCUGUGCCCUACAGUGAUCUGCCAAAAAUUGACCAGUAUGCACUUUUCCAACUGGAAAAUGUCGUGGCCUCCAUGAAGGAUGGUUAUGAUAAUUACCAGUUCUAUAAAACAUAUCAGACCCUUCAGAGAUUCGCCAUCGUUGGUUUGUCCAAUUUCUAUUUUGAUGUUGCAAAAGACCGACUUUAUGUUGGUGGCCGAGUUAGCUACACGAGGAAAAGCUGCCAGACAGUACUUGCUGCACAUCUACUCUACCUUGUCAGGGCCAUUGCUCCGAUUAUGCCACACUUAGCAGAGGAUAUCUGGCAGAACUUGCCCUUUCAACACACCUUGGAAGAUGGAUCUGUUGCCAAGUUUGCUUUCGAUCUAAAAUGGCCAGAUAAGAAUGAAGAAUGGUGCUCAGUUCAAAAGGAUGAUGUUGAUUUUCUGAGUGUUAUCCUGGAGUUGAGAUCAGAGGUGAACAAGAUUUUGGAGAGCGCUAGAACAGGGAAGCUGAUAGGCGCUAGUUUGGAUGCAAAGGUUUAUCUCCAUGCUGAAAACCCUGAUACGGUAUCCAAACUGAAGGAGCUGGCUUCUGCAACCAAUGAUGCAGAUGCUCUUCAUCGCCUAUUUAUCACGUCUCAGGUGGAGGUUCUCCCGUCCCUGAGCGAAGAAACCAAAUUGGGUGUGUCCUAUGCGGGGAAGUUCAGCGACCCACGCACGGGAGAGAUCUGGAUCGGUGUGACUCGUGCGGAUGGCGUGAAAUGCAAGCGCUGCUGGGUUUACAGUUACACCAAGGACGUUGGGUCGUUCCUUGACCAUCCUACGCUAUGCUCGCGGUGCCACGGCGUCAUUGAUCUGCAACCGCAAGCAUCUCCUGCCGCCGCCGCCGUCGCUUGA